rnacentral:rRNA from 1 species
UGGUGGAGCGAUUUGUCUGGUUUAUUCCGAUAACGAACGAGACUCUAACCUACUAACUAGUGACUGCAUUCUAGCAGUGCAGCUCGCUUCUUAGAGGGAUAAGUGGUGUUCAGCCACAUGAAAAAGAGCAAUAACA